rnacentral:rRNA from 1 species
UACGUAGGUGGCAAGCGUUGUCCGGAAUUAUUGGGCGUAAAGCGCGCGCAGGCGGUUAUGUAAGUCUGAUGUUAAAGCCCGGGGCUCAACCUCGGUUCGCAUUGGGAACUGUGUAACUUGAGUGCAGAAGAGGAAAGUGGUAUUUCACGUGUAGCGGUGGAAUGCGUAGAUAUGUGGAGGAACACCAGUGGCGAAGGCGACUUUCUGGUCUGUAACUGACGCUGAGGCGCGAAAGCGUGGGGAGCAAACAGG